rnacentral:rRNA from 1 species
UACGUAGGGGGCAAGCGUUGUCCGGAUUUAUUGGGCGUAAAGAGCGUGUAGGCGGCCAUUCAGGUCAGCUGUGAAAACUCGAGGCUCAACCUCGAGACGUCGGUUGAAACCGUUUGGCUAGAGUCCGGAAGAGGAGAGUGGAAUUCCCGGUGUAGCGGUGAAAUGCGCAGAUAUCGGGAAGAACACCCGUGGCGAAGGCGGCUCUCUGGGACGGUACUGACGCGUGAGACGGCGAAAAGCGUGGGGAGCGAACAGG